GAAAGCAUUACAGGGCGAAUCCUCUAUUGGCAGUGGAAGUUGAUGACCCUUAUAUGUUAUUUUCUCAUCAUUUUCCUCUGCCAAAGGAGAUUUGCCUCGCAAUGCUUCA
rfam:Arabidopsis thaliana chromosome 2, complete sequence.